rnacentral:lncRNA from 1 species
UGCAGGCUCUGGGCAUACUUGCUAUAAAUGAUCCCCCUCCACACCUCCCUGCCUCUCCCAGGAUGUGCCCUCUUCAGGCCUCACCCAUCCUGGCUUCGUUAGCACAUGAAGAUUGCAUUCUCAUGGGGUGGGAGAGACACUGGGCCUCAGGCCAGGCUUUGUGGCUGCUGUCCACACACUCGCACACUUGAGACCUCAGUUUCCUCAACUGUCACAGAGAGAGGGUAACCUUGCCUUGCCAGCUUUUGGGGUGGGUGAGGUAAUAGGCGGAGGCAUGGGUACCAACUGCACGGAGCUGCGCCAGAGCCACCGCCCAAGCCGGGUUCCAACAAGCUUCCCACGAAGGACAGAGCCCCCGGUCCUCUGCCACGCAUGGGGUCUCAGAGCCAGGAGCUGGAGGAGCCCGAGACCCUCCAACCACCCCCUACAGCUCCCUUCUCUCUCCUGCUCAACAUCCCUGCCACACCCAACCUCUCUGUGCAUGUCUCCAGAAUGGGGAGCUCACUACUUAUCAAGCUCUUAUCUUUUGAUGCGACCUCUGCCCUCAAGGAGCUCACAGUCCUGCCAGAGAGGGAGACAGACAGACAGACAGACAGACAGAUGGCUGGCUGCUCUGCUGUCAAACAGAAUGGAGUAAGUGCUCACUGAGGCCGCAUGCGAGGCAGAUUAAAUGGAGGCCCCGAUUGCUGAAGCAGUGUGAUGCUCUGGGCUUGGCCCAACGUCUUCCCAGCUUCCUGCGGCCGCACCAGACGGGAGGAGGCUGUGAGCAGGUGGGAAAAAAUGUCCUGCAGGGGAAAUGGGGUCAUUCAGCUGCACUAAUGGGGCAAGUAAAGAGGCAAGCAGGACAUACUGCGUCCCCAAGCACCUCUCAGCACAGGGGGCUGAGAAUUCAGGCUGGAAGUGCUCUCAGGUCUGACAGAUCCAGGCCGUUUCUGUCACAGAUCAGGACACUGAGGCUCCCAUGGCAAGCCAGAGGCAAAGCUGGGGCUCUGCCCCACAGCUCCUGCCUCCCAGCCCAGAGCUCUCCGCCCACCUGGGUGCCCCAAACUUCUUCCCUCAGGGGGCACCAAACUCAUUGCGUUAGCCAGACAGGUGGGCCAGGGUGGGCCCGAGCCUGGGUGGCAAACCUGAGGCCCAGGCUUCUGCCCUGCAACUAACUUUCUGAGUGACCUUGGGUAAGUCAUUACCCUCCUCUGGUCUUAAUUUUCUCCUCUGCAAAAUGGGAAUUGUGAUCUCUGUCUCCCCCCUGGGCUGAAGUGCAGAUGAGGUGGCACGUGUGCACAAGCUUUGCAAACUGUGAUGUGCUGUGUCCUGCGAGGGAACACCAUCAUCGCCCCCUCCUGGUCACCCUCAUCAUCAUGCUGAGAGGAAAGUGCGUAAAAGCUCUGCGGCCACAUGCCUGAGUUAGAACCCUGGUUCUGCCCCUCCCUAGCUGGCUGACCUUGGGCAAGUCACUUAACCUCUCUGCGCCUUCGUUUCCUCCUCUGUUCAAUAAAAGAAUAAUGGUCCCUCCUCA